rnacentral:rRNA from 1 species
AUUGACCGCUUUCUUUCUUCCUAACUCAUGCAAGUCGAACGGCAGCACAGUAAGAGCUUGCUCUUACGGGUGGCGAGUGGCGGACGGGUGAGGAAUACAUCGGAAUCUACUUUUUCGUGGGGGAUAACGUAGGGAAACUUACGCUAAUACCGCAUACGACCUACGGGUGAAAGCAGGGGAUCUUCGGACCUUGCGCGAUUGAAUGAGCCGAUGUCGGAUUAGCUAGUUGGCGGGGUAAAGGCCCACCAAGGCGACGAUCCGUAGCUGGUCUGAGAGGAUGAUCAGCCACACUGGAACUGAGACACGGUCCAGACUCCUACGGGAGGCAGCAGUGGGGAAUAUUGGACAAUGGGCGCAAGCCUGAUCCAGCCAUACCGCGUGGGUGAAGAAGGCCUUCGGGUUGUAAAGCCCUUUUGUUGGGAAAGAAAAGCAGCAGGUUAAUACCCCGCUGUUCUGACGGUACCCAAAGAAUAAGCAACGGCUAACUUCGUG